CAGCUUAACUGGAGACUUGCCAUUGAUACUGUUAGUCUUGAGUACGGUCAAGGUAGGCGGAAUGUGUAAUGUAGCGGUGAAAUGCUUAGAUAUUACACAGAACACCGAUUGCGAAGGCAGCUUACUGGGCCAUUACUGACGCUGAUGCACGAAAGCGUGGGGAGCGAACAGGAUUAGAUACCCUGGUAGUCCACGCCGUAAACGAUGAUCACUCGCUGUUAGCGAUACACAGUUAGCGGCUAAGCAAAAGCAUUAAGUGAUCCACCUGGGGAGUACGGCCGCAAGGCUGAAACUCAAAGGAAUUGACGGGGGCCCGCACAAGCGGAGGAACAUGUGGUUUAAUUCGAUGAUACGCGAGGAACCUUACCUGGGCUUAAAUGUAGAGUGCAUGAAGUGGAAACAUUUCUUUCCUUCGGGACUCUUUGCAAGGUGCUGCAUGGUUGUCGUCAGCUCGUGCCGUGAGGUGUCGGGUUAAGUCCCAUAACGAGCGCAACCCUUAUCGUUAGUUGCCAGCGGGUCAUGCCGGGAACUCUAACGAAACUGCCGGUGUAAACCGUGAGGAAGGUGGGGAUGACGUCAAAUCAGCACGGCCCUUAUGUCCAGGGCUACACACGUGUUACAAUGGCCGGUACAGAGGGCAGCUACCUGGAGACAGGAUGCGAAUCUCCAAAGCCGGUCUCAGUUCGGAUCGGAGUCUGCAACUCGACUCCGUGAAGCUGGAUUCGCUAGUAAUCGCGCAUCAGCCAUGGCGCGGUGAAUACGUUCCCGGGCCUUGUACACACCG
rnacentral:rRNA from 1 species